rnacentral:sRNA from 1 species
ACAAAGACAGAGACAUUGAAAAAGAGACAGACCAAGGAAGAAACACAAAGACAGAAAUUUCACGGGCAGAAGAUGUAGCCCGGCCAUUCUCUGUGAUCUAAGUAGCUUGAAGUAACAACCUAUAAUCAUGCUAAAAAGAGAAGAAUCUGUAAGAAUCAAGAAGGAAGCUGAAGAAGCUGAACUCCAAAAAAUGAAGGCAAUUCAGAGAGAGAAGAGCAAUAAACUGGAGGAGAAAAAAAGACUUCAAGAAAACCUUAGAAGAGAAGCAUUUAGAGAGCAUCAGCAAUACAAAACCGCUGAGUUCUUGAGCAAACUGAACACAGAAUCGCCAGAAGCUGGGCUUACAGAGAUUCUCUAAAGGCAGAAGAAAACAGAAAAUUGCAAAAGAUGAAGGAUGAACAACAUCAAAAGAGUGAAUUACUGGAACUUAAACGGCAGCAGCAAGAGCAAGAAAGAGCCAAAAUCCACCAGACUGAACACAGGAGGGUAAAUAAUGCUUUUCUGGACCGACUCCAAGGCAAAAGUCAACCAGGUGGCCUCGAGCAAUCUGGAGGCUGUUGGAAUAUGAAUAGCGGUAACAGCUGG